GGGCGCUUAGCUCAGUUGGGAGAGCAUCUGCCUUACAAGCAGGGGGUCAUAGGUUCGAGCCCUAUAGCGCCCACCA
rnacentral:tRNA from 2 species